UACGUAGGGGGCAAGCGUUGUCCGGAUUUACUGGGCGUAAAGAGCGUGUAGGCGGCCAAGCAGGUCCGUUGUGAAAACUGGAGGCUUAACCUCCAGACGUCGACGGAAACCGCGUGGCUAGAGUCCGGAAGAGGAGAGUGGAAUUCCUGGUGGUAGCGGUGAAAUGCGCAGAUAUCAGGAAGAACACCUAUGGCGAAGGCAGCUCUCUGGGACGGUACUGACGCUGAGACGCGAAAGCGUGGGGAGCGAACAGG
rnacentral:rRNA from 1 species